UACACUCCUACGGGAGGCAGCAGUGGGGAAUAUUGGACAAUGGGCGCAAGCCUGAUCCAGCCAUGCCGCGUGAGUGAUGAAGGCCCUAGGGUUGUAAAGCUCUUUCACCGGUGAAGAUAAUGACGGUAACCGGAGAAGAAGCCCCGGCUAACUUCGUGCCAGCAGCCGCGGUAAUACGAAGGGGGCUAGCGUUGUUCGGAUUUACUGGGCGUAAAGCGCACGUAGGCGGACUAUUAAGUCAGGGGUGAAAUCCCGGGGCUCAACCCCGGAACUGCCUUUGAUACUGGUAGUCUUGAGUUCGAGAGAGGUGAGUGGAAUUCCGAGUGCAGAGGUGAAAUUCGUAGAUAUUCGGAGGAACACCAGUGGCGAAGGCGGCUCACUGGCUCGAUACUGACGCUGAGGUGCGAAAGCGUGGGGAGCAAACAGGAUUAGAUACCCUAGUAGUCCCAUGA
rnacentral:rRNA from 1 species